rnacentral:siRNA from 1 species
AGGGUCUAACAUGAUGAUCCU